GCAUGUCUCAGUACAAGCCUAAUUAAGGUGAAACCGCGAAAGGCUCAUUAAAUCAGUUAUGGUUCCUUAGAUCGUACUCACAUUUACUUGGAUAACUGUGGUAAUUCUAGAGCUAAUACAUGCAAACAGAGUUCCAACCGGAGACGGAAGGAACGCUUUUAUUAGAUCAAAACCAAUCGGUGCUGCGGUGGCGUUUACGUUUGCUGUAGCAUCGUUCAAAACUUUGGUGACUCUGAAUAACUUUUUGCUGAUCGCACGGUCUUGCACCGGCGACGCAUCUUUCAAAUGUCUGCCUUAUCAACUGUCGAUGGUAGGUUCUGCGCCUACCAUGGUUGUAACGGGUAACGGGGAAUCAGGGUUCGAUUCCGGAGAGGGAGCCUGAGAAACGGCUACCACAUCCAAGGAAGGCAGCAGGCGCGCAAAUUACCCACUCCCGGCACGGGGAGGUAGUGACGAAAAAUAACGAUACGGGACUCAUCCGAGGCCCCGUAAUCGGAAUGAGUACACUCUAAAUCCUUUAACAAGGAUCAAUUGGAGGGAAAGUCUGGUGCCAGCAGCCGCGGUAAUUCCAGCUCCAAUAGCGUAUAUUAAAGUUGUUGCGGUUAAAAAGCUCGUAGUCGAAUUUGUGUCUCGCGCCGCCGGUUCAUCGCCUCGCGGUGUUUAACUGGCGUGUUCGCGGGACGUCCUGCCGGUGGGUUCCUCGAAUUUAUCGUUUCGGCGGUGGUUCGUGGCCCAACUCGUGUUCGCCUUGCGCGGAUUCGAAUCUCAUCGCGGUGCUCUUUAUUGAGUGUCGAGGUGGGCCGGCACGUUUACUUUGAACAAAUUAGAGUGCUUAAAGCAGGCCAAUUUUGCCUGAAUAUUGUGUGCAUGGAAUAAUGGAAUAGGACCUCGGUUCUAUUUUGUUGGUUUUCGGAACCCCGAGGUAAUGAUUAAUAGGAACGGAUGGGGGCAUUCGUAUUGCGACGUUAGAGGUGAAAUUCUUGGAUCGUCGCAAGACGGACAGAAGCGAAAGCAUUUGCCAAAAACGUUUUCAUUGAUCAAGAACGAAAGUUAGAGGUUCGAAGGCGAUCAGAUACCGCCCUAGUUCUAACCAUAAACGAUGCCAGCUAGCGAUCCGCCGACGUUCCUCCGAUGACUCGGCGGGCAGCUUCCGGGAAACCAAAGCUUUUGGGUUCCGGGGGAAGUAUGGUUGCAAAGCUGAAACUUAAAGGAAUUGACGGAAGGGCACCACAAGGAGUGGAGCCUGCGGCUUAAUUUGACUCAACACGGGAAACUUCACCAGGCCCGGACACUGGAAGGAUUGACAGAUUGAGAGCUCUUUCUUAAUUCAGUGGGUGGUGGUGCAUGGCCGUUCCUAAUUGGUGGAGUGGUUUGUCUGGUUAAUUCCGAUAACGAACGAGACUCUAGCCUGCUAACUAGGCGUAUUUUCGACAUCCUAAAGGUCCGCCAGUUCGAUUGACUUCGGUUGGUCGGUGCUGCGCGCGAUUUUUACUGUCGGCGUACAAUUAAAUCUUCUUAGAGGGAUAGGUGGCUUUCAGCCGCACGAGAUUGAGCAAUAACAGGUCUGUGAUGCCCUUAGAUGUUCUGGGCCGCACGCGCGCUACACUGAAGGAAUCAGCGUGUCUUCCCUGGCCGAGAGGUCCGGGUAAUCCGCUGAAACUCCUUCGUGCUAGGGAUUGGGGCUUGCAAUUGUUCCCCAUGAACGAGGAAUUCCCAGUAAGCGCGAGUCAUAAGCUCGCGUUGAUUAAGUCCCUGCCCUUUGUACACACCGCCCGUCGCUACUACCGAUUGAAUGAUUUAGUGAGGUCUUCGGACCGGUACGCGGCGGCGUUUCGACGUCGCCGAUGUUGCUGGAAAGAUGACCAAACUUGGUCAUUUAGAGGAAGUAAAAGUCGUAACAA
rnacentral:rRNA from 1 species